AUUGAUAAAAUUGAUCAUUAAACACUUCAGUAGCAGACAUUCAAACAUUUCUGAAAAUCGUCUCUCCAAAUUCGCAGUUAAACAUGUUGAAUCAAAACUUGUUCGCACUAUUUUUAGUCGGACUCAUUGUUUGUCAGUGCCUUUCCAAUGUAGAAGCUGGUGAAGAUAAAAACACUCAAAUAAAAAAGCAUAGUAUAACAAUCGGCCUAAAUCUACCACCAUUAAAGAAGCCUAAAUCUACCACCAUUAAAGAAGAAAUAAAAUAUAAAGAUGUUAAGGGUGAAAAGCCACCACCACGAAAUUCGGAGGAUCAAAUUAAAUAUCUUCCACCUCUAACAUAAAUCUGUCUACCCCAACCAAAUGACCAAUAAAUAAUGAAUAGAUUAUUCUAAUAUUUCCAAAUUUCACUUUCGAAA